rnacentral:rRNA from 1 species
UACGGAGGGUGCGAGCGUUGUCCGGAAUUACUGGGCGUAAAGCGCACGUAGGCGGACUAUUAAGUCAGGGGUGAAAUCCCGGGGCUCAACCCCGGAACUGCCUUUGAUACUGGUAGUCUCGAGUCCGGAAGAGGUGAGUGGAAUUCCGAGUGUAGAGGUGAAAUUCGUAGAUAUUCGGAGGAACACCAGUGGCGAAGGCGGCUCACUGGUCCGGUACUGACGCUGAGGUGCGAAAGCGUGGGGAGCAAACAGG